rnacentral:rRNA from 1 species
AGUAGUUUGAUCAGUGGCUCAGGACGAACGCUGGCGGCGUGCUUUAGACAUGCAAGUCGAACGAGAUCUUCGGAUCUAGUGGCGAAACGGCGGAGUAAUACAUAAACAACGUGCCCUGAAGACUGGGAUAUACGGUCGAAAGGCCGAGCAAUACCGGAUGUGGCCGAGACUAGGCAUCUAGACUCGAUUAAAUGGUUUUUCGCUUCAGGAGCGGUUUAUGACUCAUCAGCUAGUUGGUAGGGUAAUGGCCUACCAAGGCUACGACGGGUAGGGGGUCUGAGAGGAUGAUCCCCCCGAGUGGGACUGAGACACGGCCCACACACCUACGGGUGGCAGCAGUUUGGAAUCUUGCCCAAUGGGGAAACCCUGAGGCAGCGACGCCGCGUGGAGGAUGAAGGAUUUAGGUCUGUAAACUCCUUUUGCCAGGAAAGACUUAGGACGGUACCCGGCGAAUAAGCUCCGGCUAACUACGUG